CAGAAGAUUUGUCUGAUGUCUGCAGGCUCUGUGGGGAUGCCACUACACAGGAUUCUGUGGACACUGCUACUGCUUCUAAAUGGAUUGCCUGUGACUGAUGCAACAAGUGGUUCCACCAUUCAUGUGUCAGAAACUCACCUGAAGAGGAGGAGCUCCUUUGCCCUUUGUGCAAGAUAUAAGACAGCCCCUACCAACUAACUCAUCCGCUGACCCUGCUUUUAAAUGUCAUUGCUACCACUGUUUUCCAACAACUCUAAUCAGACUUCUUUUUCAUUUUAUGUUAAAAAAAACACCUUAAAAUGUAUGUUGUUAUAACUUUAUUGUAGACUUUGUCACCUGAGGUUGUUUAUUUUUUUAAAGAAAAUACCUUUUAUAGUUUCCAUCAAUUACAGUUUGCCAAUUCAACUAUUUACUUUGACACAGCACAUGCUAACCCUCACUUGCUGAGACUAAAGAAUGUAAAUGAACUUUGUGCCCUUUUUAGAUAGAAAAAGCUGGAAAAUAUGUUCCGCAACGAAACUACAUUUAGGUCAAUAUAAUGUUCUCUUUUUGUAUACUUCAGAAUGUAAUACAUUUGCUAUUUGAGUUUAGAAACUAUAUGCUCAUAAACAUACUUUUAUUGUUAACAAUUUUCAUGCAUUAUAUCCAGAUUGUAUUAAAUCCCAUACAUCUGACACAGAGGCAAACUAUGUUCUGACUCAGGAUAACUGUAGUCCCAGUGUAAAGAGUUAUUGCAUGAAAAAAUAAUUAUAUAAAACAAUGAAAGUAUAUCCAAAAAAAAAAAAAAAAAUACAUUUUGACUAAUGUGGUCUCAAAUUGAAUGUUGCAUUAUUUUCUACUAUAUUAGACAAUAUAAAUAUUAACCAACGAUAAUGAACCUCUUAUGCAAAAAUAAAGUCACUUUAUUCACCCA